UACAGGGGGUGCGAGCGUUAAUCGGAAUUACUGGGCGUAAAGCGCACGUAGUCGGCUUUGCAAGUCGGGUGUGAAAUCCCCGGGCUCAACCUGGGAACUGCAUCCGAGACUGCAUUGCUAGAGUAUGGGAGAGGGAAGCGGAAUUUCUGGUGUAGCAGUGAAAUGCGUAGAUAUCAGAAGGAACACCAGUGGCGAAGGCGGCGACCUGGGCCAAUACUGACGCUGAGGGGCGAAAGCGUGGGGAGCAAACAGG
rnacentral:rRNA from 1 species